rnacentral:rRNA from 1 species
GACGUAGGGCGCGAGCGUUGUCCGGAUUUAUUGGGCGUAAAGAGCUCGUAGGCGGCUCAUUGCGUCAACCGUGAAAACCAGCAGCUCAACUGUUGGCUUGCGGUUGAUACGGGUGGGCUGGAGUUCGGUAGGGGAGACUGGAAUUCCUGGUGUAGCGGUGAAAUGCGCAGAUAUCAGGAAGAACACCAAUGGCGAAAGCAGCUCUCUGGGACGGUACUGACGCUGAGACGCGAAAGCGUGGGGAGCGAACAGG